rnacentral:rRNA from 1 species
CUAAGUACCCCGAGGAAAAGAAAUCAACCGAGAUUCCCCCAGUAGCGGCGAGCGAACGGGGAGGAGCCCAGAGCCUGAAUCAGCAUGUGUGUUAGUGGAAGCGUCUGGAAAGGCGCGCGAUACAGGGUGACAGCCCCGUACACAAAAGCGCAUGUGCUGUGAGCUCGAUGAGUAGGGCGGGACACGUGGUAUCCUGUCUGAAUAUGGGGGGACCAUCCUCCAAGGCUAAAUACUCCUGACUGACCGAUAGUGAACCAGUACCGUGAGGGAAAGGCGAAAAGAACCCCGGCGAGGGGAGUGAAAAAGAACCUGAAACCGUGUACGUACAAGCAGUGGGAGCACCCUUUGGGGUGUGACUGCGUACCUUUUGUAUAAUGGGUCAGCGACUUAUAUUCUGUAGCAAGGUUAACCGAAUAGGGGAGC